UACCUGCAGCUCGAGUGGUAACCGCUAUUAUUGGGCCUAAAGCGUCCGUAGCCGGUUUGGUAAAUAUCUGGGUAAAUCGUGAGGCUUAACUUCACGAAUUUCGGAUAGACUGCCAGACUUGGGAUCGGGGGAGGUCAGAGGUACUCCAGGGGUAGCGGUGAAAUGUUGUAAUCCUUGGAGGACCACCGGUAGCGAAGGCGUCUGACUAGAACGAGUCCGACGGUGAGGGACGAAGCCCUGGGGCGCAAACCGGAUUAGAUACCCGGGUAGUCCAGGGUGUAAACGUAUGUGGGCUUUGUAUUGGAGGUCCCACGUGGGCGUCCAGUGCAGAAGAGAAGUUGUUAAGCCCACCGCCUGGGAAGUACGGUCGCAAGGCUGAAACUUAAAGGAAUUGGCGGGGGAGCACAGCAACGGGAGGAGCGUGCGGUUU
rnacentral:rRNA from 1 species